rnacentral:rRNA from 1 species
ACGCUAGCUACAGGCUUAACACAUGCAAGUCGAGGGGCAGCAUGGUCUUAGCUUGCUAAGGCCGAUGGCGACCGGCGCACGGGUGAGUAACACGUAUCCAACCUGCCGUCUACUCUUGGACAGCCUUCUGAAAGGAAGAUUAAUACAAGAUGGCAUCAUGAGUCCGCAUGUUCACAUGAUUAAAGGUAUUCCGGUAGACGAUGGGGAUGCGUUCCAUUAGAUAGUAGGCGGGGUAACGGCCCACCUAGUCUUCGAUGGAUAGGGGUUCUGAGAGGAAGGUCCCCCACAUUGGAACUGAGACACGGUCCAAACUCCUACGGGAGGCAGCAGUGAGGAAUAUUGGUCAAUGGGCGAGAGCCUGAACCAGCCAAGUAGCGUGAAGGAUGACUGCCCUAUGGGUUGUAAACUUCUUUUAUAAAGGAAUAAAGUCGGGUAUGUAUACCCGUUUGCAUGUACUUUAUGAAUAAGGAUCGGCUAACUCCGUGCCAGCAGCCGCGGUAAUACGGAGGAUCCGAGCGUUAUCCGGAUUUAUUGGGUUUAAAGGGAGCGUAGAUGGAUGUUUAAGUCAGUUGUGAAAGUUUGCGGCUCAACCGUAAAAUUGCAGUUGAUACUGGAUAUCUUGAGUGCAGUUGAGGCAGGCGGAAUUCGUGGUGUAGCGGUGAAAUGCUUAGAUAUCACGAAGAACUCCGAUUGCGAAGGCAGCCUGCUAAGCUGCAACUGACAUUGAGGCUCGAAAGUGUGGGUAUCAAACAGGAUUAGAUA